CCUAAACUAAAUCCUCACAGCUCCACCACAUAAGGAACAAAACAUGCUGAUUAAGCAAAAACACAUAACAUUACAAUAGCCCCUUCACUAAAAACUUCAAGCUGCUCUCAACUCAGAGUGGGGCAGUAUAAAAUACAGCCAUGAGGGACUAAUUUGCAUAGAUACUCAUGGGGCAGGCAUGCCAACCUACCACUCUACUCUAUUUCAAACACUGCUGACAUCCUCAAUGGAGAACCAGCUCUUUGACUUAUAAAAUAUACUUACAGUAAAAGCAAUACCAUUAUCAAUUUUUAACUCCCCAACCCCAUUUUAAUUAAUCUUUAAUUAUUAUCCUUUAAUGAGCAUGUCACCCAUUUGAGUCUGACAAUA
rnacentral:misc_RNA from 1 species